rnacentral:rRNA from 1 species
UGGUCAAGUUAUUAAGGGUGCAGGGCGGAUGCCUUGGCACUAGGAGCCGAUGAAGGACGUGAUAAGCUGCGAUAAGCUUCGGGGAGUUGCACGUAAACUUUGAUCCGAAGAUUUCCGAAUGAGGAAACUCACUUAGAGUAAUGUCUAAGUAUCAUUAAGUGAAUACAUAGCUUAAUGAGGGGAACUCAGGGAACUGAAACAUCUAAGUACCUGAAGGAAGAGAAAGAAAUUCGAUUCCGUAAGUAGCGGCGAGCGAACGCGGAUUAGCCCAAACCAAUAAAGUUUUCUUUAUUGGGGUUGCGGACAUAUCAUAACGAAGAGGUAUCGUAAUUGAAGAGGUUUGGAAAGACCCACCACAGAAGGUAAUAGUCCUGUAUGUUAAACGAGAAGACUUCAGAUAUGAUCCAGAGUACCACGGGACACGUGAAACCCUGUGGGAAGCAGGAGGGACCACCCUCCAAGGCUAAAUACUACCUAGUGACCGAUAGCGUAUAGUACCGUGAGGGAAAGGUGAAAAGAACCCCGGGAGGGGAGUGAAAUAGAACCUGAAACCCUGCACUUACAAGCUGUGGAAGCACAUUUCUUGUGUGACCGCGUACUUUUUGUAGAACGGGCCAACGAGUUACGUUAAGUAGCAAGGUUAAGCACUUAAGGUGCGGAGCCGUAGCGAAAGCGAGUUUUAACUGAGCGUUCAGUUA